CAGCAUACUCACCACUCCCCUUCCUGGUGCUCAACUUCACCAAAAGACCUGGGGCCCAAACUUUCUACAUAUCGCUAAAGUAAUUUCACAUUACUUAUUCGUUUUGCUAAUUACUCUUUGUUUUUUAGCCAACAGGGAUAUGCUAUGGAAUACAACAUAAAACCUUCAUGUAUUUUAAAACACAGUAGGAGACUUGGACGGAACUCAUACUUGUCACCUGCUGCUUAGAGCUCUUCUCUGUGAGGGCCCUUACGUCCCCGGCCUUCAGGACGAGUGGUGGGAAAGCUCCGGAAGCAGAGGACACCUCAUGCAUUCAUCAGUUGCAGUUUGCCUUGCUGCGAGCCCCAAGUUCCCAGCUGAGCCUAGAGCAGGGGUAUUCUGCAUCCAUGUCUUCACA
rnacentral:lncRNA from 1 species